UACGUAGGGUGCAAGCGUUAAUCGGAAUUACUGGGCGUAAAGCGUGCGCAGGCGGUUUUGUAAGUCUGUCGUGAAAUCCCCGGGCUUAACCUGGGAACUGCAUUUGUGACUGGCGGGCUAGAGUAUGGCAGAGGGGGGUAGAAUUCCACGUGUAGCAGUGAAAUGCGUAGAGAUGUGGAGGAAUACCGAUGGCGAAGGCAGCCCCCUGGGCCAAUACUGACGCUCAUGCAC
rnacentral:rRNA from 1 species